UAAGGUGGUUAUUGCGGCGGGGCUCACCUCUUCCCAUCCCGAACAGAGAAGUUAAGCCCGCCUGCGCAGAUGGUACUGCAAUUAUGUGGGAGAGUAUGUCGUCGCCUUUC
rnacentral:rRNA from 4 species